GGGGUUGACUGGUUUUGACAGCGUGUAGAAGUGGUGUGUAAGCGUGCAGAGGCAAGAUGUUCGACCUCUAUAAUCCCGGCAUCAAGAAAUUUAAUUGGCGAAAAUAACCUCGCUCUCGCUGCUUGAUUGAAGUAUAGUAGAUCAGCUUAAUCUCCGCGACAGUCGCAGAGACGAGACAUCACCCGGCAAUCCACUUUCCGAGACAUGCCGAUCCGGUGGUGUAAGACAUUCGGAAAUAGACUCCGGCAGGCCUCAAUGUCAGAGUCGAAAUUCAAGAGGAUAAGUUUGUGGUUGG
rnacentral:tmRNA from 1 species